AGAGUUUGAUCAUGGCUCAGGAUGAACGCUAGCGGUGCGCCUAACACAUGCAAGUCGAGCGUGAUUAUUUGGUAGCUUGCUACUAAAUAUGAAAGCGGCAAACGGGUGAGUAAUAAGUUUGUACCUACCUUUAAGCCAGGGAUAGCCUAGGGAAACCUAGAUUAAUACCGGAUGUGCCCUACGGGGUAAAGAUUUAUCGCUUAGAGAGGGGCAUGCUUCCUAUCAGCUAGUUGGUAAGGUAAUAGCUUACCAAGGCAAUGACGGGUAAUUGGUCUGAGAGGAUGACCAGUCACAAUGGAACUGAGACACGGUCCAUACUCCUACGGGAGACAGCAGUGAGGAAUCUUCCACAAUGGGCGAAAGCCUGAUGGAGCGACACCGCGUGAAGGAUGAAGGCUUUGUUGUUGUAAACUUCUUUUCUCUGGGAAGAUAAUGACGGUACCAGAGGAAUAAGGGACGGCUAACUACGUGCCAGCAGCCGCGGUAAUACGUAGGUCCCAAGCGUUAUCCGGAAUUACUGGGUGUAAAGCGUCUGUAGGCGGGUCUGUAAGUUUUGUAUGAAAGACCGGAGCUCAACUCCGUGUUUGUACAAAAAACUGCAGACCUAGAAUUAGGGAGAGGUAAACGGAAUGGUAAGAGUAGAGGUGCAAUUCGUAGAUACUUACCAGAACACCAAAGGCGAAGGCAGUUUACUGGAACUAUAUUGACGCUGAGAGACGAAAGCGUGGGGAGCGAAAAGGAUUAGAUACCCUUGUAGUCCACGCCCUAAACGAUGAUGGUUAAGUGUCGGGUCUUGUACCCGGUGCUGUAGCAAACGCGUUAAACCAUCCACCUGAGGAGUACGGUCGCAAGACUAAAACUCAAAUGAAUAGACGGGGACCCACACAAGCAGUGGAUCAUGCGGUUUAAUUCGAUAAUAAACGGAGAAUCUUACCCAGGCUUGACAUCUACAGAAUCUUUGAGAAAUCAGAGAGUGCCCGUAAGGGAACUGUAAGACAGGCGCUGCAUGGUUGUCGUCAGCUCGUGCCUUGAGGUGUUCGGUUAAGUCCGUUAACGAGCGCAACCCAUGUCGUUAGUUACUAUGUCUAACGAGACUGCCCGAGUUAAUCGGGAGGAAGGUGUGGAUGACGUCAAAUCAGCAUGGCCCUUAUGCCUGGGGCCACACGCAUGAUACAAUGGUCGGUACAAAGAGUAGCAAGGUGGUAACACUGAGCCAAUCUCAAAAAGCCGAUCUCAGUCCGGAUUGAGGUCUGAAACUCGACCUCAUGAAGUUGGAAUUGCUAGUAAUCGUGAAUCAGACAUGUCACGGUGAAUAUGUUCCUGGGUCUUGUACUCACCGCCCGUCAUAGCAUGGGAGGUGCUUUUAUCGGAAGCUCCUGAAGUAAUAUUGGGAAUCAUGGUAAAGGUACUGACUGGGCUAAAGUCGUAACAAGGUAACCAAGGGCGAA
rnacentral:rRNA from 1 species